CAGGGUAUAGCUCAGUGGUAGAGUGUUUGACUGCAGAUCAAACGGCCUUGGUUCAAAUCCAAGUGCCCCUUAAA